CAGCCGGUGGAGGAUGGACUCCCCGUCUGUAGCUGUUUUCCUCCCGAGAUUUCUCCCCUUUGUGUCGGCCUCGGCCUGAGGAGGGGGGCUGCCCUGGCCUCGGAGUUUACGAGAGCGGUUGGGCAACUGGAUUCUGUCCCCAGGCAUUGAAGGGGCUUCUGUAAACAAGUAUGGGGUCUACUAGGUGCUGAUUUAAGGGAAGUGGUGUUGGAGUGUCUGCAGAAGGGAUCAUUACCAGCUUCCUGUCAGCAAGCAGCUCGCACUACCUCUUGCCCAAAAAGGGAGACUUGUCUUUAAGAGCUGGAGGCUUGCUGCACUUCUGUCAUGUGACUACAAGGAAAUAUGACGCACACAGUAUAUGGCUAAAUUUCCAAGGUAGCGUUGGAGUUUUCUGGAGAAACAAAUACCACACAAACCACCAAGCAACAGAACCUUCUGGCUGUACAUUUGAGAGCUGACCAUGGAAACCAUGCUGGUCUGUGUCUGGCUGGUCAGCAGUCUGAUUCACACGAUCUCAGGAUGUUCUCUAUCUGCACCCAAAGGAGUCACUGGGUACACAGGAGGCUCCGUGCUCCUGUCUUGCUACUGCACUGAUGGAGGGACAAUAUCGA